rnacentral:rRNA from 1 species
GUUGAACGCUGGCGGCAGGCCUAACACAUGCAAGUCGAACGAGUGGCGGACGGGUGGAUAAUGUCUGGGAAACUGCCUGAUGGAGCGGGAUGACUACUGGAAACGGUAGCUACUACCGCAUAACAUCAGAUGGGCCGUGAUGGGAUUAGCUAGUUGGUGGGGUAACGGCUCACCAAGGCGACGAUCCUUAGCUGGGCUGAGAGGAUGACCAGCCACACUGGAACUGAGACACGGUCCAGACUCCUACGGGAGGCAGCAGUGGGGAAUAUUGCACAAUGGGCGAAAGCCUGAUGCAGCCAUGCCGCGUGUAUGAAGAAGGCCUUCGGGUUGUAAAGCACUUUCAGCGGGGAGGCGUUACCUGCAGAAGAAGCACCGGCUAACUCCGUGCCAGCAGCCGCGGUAAUAC